rnacentral:piRNA from 1 species
UACGAAAUUCCAGUAGACUCUGACUUCAGAAA